rnacentral:misc_RNA from 1 species
AAACAGGGGAGCAGUUAAGGAGUUCUUUCUACUGGAAAGUUACACAAAGCAGUGACUAGUACUGCAGUUACACUGUUACCCAAAGUUCCCAAUCCCUCCAAUAUGAAGGAGUAUAAGCCCAUAGCAUGUUGUACAGUCCUAUACAAACUCAUAGAAAAAUUGUUGGCAAAUAGAAUCCACCAGGUGAUAGAAACUGUGAUCUCAGAAACACAACCUGG